AGGGAUGUAGCUCAGUGGUAAAGCAUCUUCUUUGCAUGGAAAUGCUCCUGGGUUGAAUCCGCAGCAUCUCCA